GGAACCGCUACAUCGAUCACUUGGCAGUUUCCAAGGCCUCAGGUUUGUGACUGAGCUUGUUGGAGGUGAGCAAGUCUUCUGGACCAGACAGAGUGAGUCCCCGCAUUCUCGAGGCCUGUGCCCCCCCAGCUUGUGGAGUCUUUCAUAAACUGUUCAUGUUGAGUCUCAGUCUACAGAGGGUCCCAGUGCUGUGGAAGACAUCAAGCCUCGUCCCUGUACCAAAGACGCCACUUAACAGUGGCCCCCAGGAUUACUGGCCUGUGGCACUGACCUCCUCCGUCAUGAAGACCCUGGAAAGUCUCAUCCAAACCAGUGCAAUCCUCUAUGCUGUUGCAUGCUGCGGCAGCAGGUUGAGGGUUGCAGAUGCCAACAGACUAAAUUAACUGAUCCACAACGCCAAUAAUGUUGUGGGGAUGGAGUUGGACUGUCUUAAGGUGGUGUCAGAGCGGUGGAUGUUGUCCAAGACAAAGACAAUGUUGGACUAUACCCCCCCACCCACUCCAUGACAUGCUGGCUAGCCACAGGAGCACGCUCAGUGAGAGACUGAGAUUACGGAAAAUCACCACUGAACGACACAGGAAAUUAUUCCUGCCUGUGGCCAUCUCCCUGUACAACUCCUCCACCUGUAAACACUGCAACAGUUACAUCCUUUUUACACACGCUCUUUUCUACUCUGUAAUAUUCUUAUCAAUAUUCUUGAUAUUUACUUAUAAUCACCUGUAUUAAUUAUUUAUAUUUAUGGUUAAGUGUUUUGUAUAUAUUAGUGCUAUUUCUUACAUUUUUUAAAUCUUUAACAUAUUGUAUUGUUUAAAUACAAUAUGUCACUGUUUUAGAAUUUCUUCUUGGAGCAACUUUAACCCAGAUAAUUUCCUUAGGGAUCAAUAAAGUAUGCUGAUUCUGA